rnacentral:rRNA from 1 species
GCACAAGCGGUGGAUGAUGUGGUUAAUUCGAUGCAACGCGAAAACCUUACCUACCCUUGACAUGUCUGGAACCUUGGUGAGAGCCGAGGGUGCCUUCGGGAGCCAGAACACAGGUGCUGCAUGGCUGUCGUCAGCUCGUGUCGUGAGAUGUUGGGUUAAGUCCCGCAACGAGCGCAACCCUUGUCACUAGUUGCCAUCAUUUGGUUGGGCACUCUAGUGAGACUGCCGGUGACAAACCGGAGGAAGGUGGGGAUGACGUCAAGUCCUCAUGGCCCUUAUAGGUGGGGCUACACACGUCAUACAAUGGCCGGUACAGAGGGUAGCCAACCCGCGAGGGGGAGCCAAUCCCACAAAGCCGGUCGUAGUCCGGAUCGCAGUCUGCAACUCGACUGCGUGAAGUCGGAAUCGCUAGUAAUCGCGGAUCAGCAUGUCGCGGUGAAUACGUUCCCGGGUCUU